GAUGAAGAACGUAGCGAAAUGCGAUAAGUAGUGUGAAUUGCAGAAUUCAGUGAAUCAUCGAAUCUUUGAACGCACAUUGCGCCCCUUGGUAUCCCGAGGGGCAUGCCUGUUCGAGCGUCAUUUCACCACUCAAGCCUGGCUUGGUGUUGGGCGACGUCCUCUUUGGGGACGCGCCCCGAAACGCUCGGCGGCGUGGCACCGGCUUUAAGCGUAGCAGAAUCUUUCGCUUUGGAAGUCGGGGCCCCGUCUGCCGGAAGACCUGCUCGCAAGGUUGACCUCGGAUCAGGCAGGGAUACCCGCUGAACUUAAGCAUAUCAAUAAGCGGAGGA
rnacentral:misc_RNA from 1 species